rnacentral:rRNA from 1 species
GCUUGUGGAAUGAGCGGCGGACGGGUGAGUAACACGUGGGCAACCUGCCUGUAAGACUGGGAUAACCCCGGGAAACCGGGGCUAAUACCGGAUAAUACUUUCUUUUGCAUAAAGGAAAGUUGAAAGGCGGCUUCGGCUGUCACUUACAGAUGGGCCCGCGGCGCAUUAGCUAGUUGGUGAGGUAACGGCUCACCAAGGCGACGAUGCGUAGCCGACCUGAGAGGGUGAUCGGCCACACUGGGACUGAGACACGGCCCAGACUCCUACGGGAGGCAGCAGUAGGGAAUCUUCCGCAAUGGACGAAAGUCUGACGGAGCAACGCCGCGUGAGUGAUGAAGGUUUUCGGAUCGUAAAACUCUGUUGUUAGGGAAGAACAAGUUGGGUAGUAACUGACCCAACCUUGACGGUACCUAACCAGAAAGCCACGGCUAACUACGUGCCAGCAGCCGCGGUAAUACGUAGGUGGCAAGCGUUGUCCGGAAUUAUUGGGCGUAAAGCGCUCGCAGGCGGUCCUUUAAGUCUGAUGUGAAAUCUCGCGGCUCAACCGCGAACGGUCAUUGGAAACUGGAGGACUUGAGUACAGAAGAGGAGAGUGGAAUUCCACGUGUAGCGGUGAAAUGCGUAGAGAUGUGGAGGAACACCAGUGGCGAAGGCGACUCUCUGGUCUGUAACUGACGCUGAGGAGCGAAAGCGUGGGGAG